rnacentral:tmRNA from 1 species
GGGGGCGAUCCUGGGUUCGACGGGGGUCGCUGACGGUGAGGCUGCGAGCCGAGGUGCCGGAGGCCUCGUAAAACACCGGCAACGCCAUAACUGGCAACAACCGUUACGCUUUGGCGGCUUAAUCCCGCCACGUCCCCGCUAAGCCCCGCCGGUGGCUCGAGCGGCGGACGACACAAAACCGGCUAGCCGGGGGCAAGGCCCCGUAGCCGCCCGGCGAACCGCUUCCGGGGCUUGGCCUAAGCCCCCUGUCCGUGGGGUAAGCUUAGGCGACACUUGAAACACGGACUACGCUCGUAGACGCCCACCCGAUGGGCUCUCGGACGCGGGUUCGAGUCCCGCCGCCUCCACCA